UGGGGAAUAUUGCACAAUGGGGGAAACCCUGAUGCAGCGACGCCGCGUGAGCGAAGAAGGUUUUCGAAUCGUAAAGCUCUGUCCUAUGAGAAGAUAAUGACGGUAUCAUAGGAGGAAGCCCCGGCUAAAUACGUGCCAGCAGCCGCGGUAAUACGUAUGGGGCGAGCGUUGUCCGGAAUUAUUGGACGUAAAGGGUACGUAGGCGGUCUAUUAAGUCAGGUGUGAAAGCGUGAGGCUUAACCUCAUUAAGCACUUGAAACUGAUAGACUUGAGUGAAGGAGAGGAAAGUGGAAUUCCUAGUGUAGCGGUGAAAUGCGUAGAUAUUAGGAGGAAUACCGGUGGCGAAGGCGACUUUCUGGACUUAUACUGACGCUCAGGUACGAAAGCGUGGGGAGCAAACAGG
rnacentral:rRNA from 1 species